AUUACAAUGUUGACACAAAUCGAUAGUUGACGCACAUUAAUUUCACUUUCGUCGAAGCAAACCAAGUUGACCCCUAUUGCUGAAAUAGAAAUUUUAUUAAAAAAUGAAAAACAACGUAAAGAAUCUAAACCCUUGAGAGUACAGGUGCAGACUAAGGGCCGAGUAUCAUUAAAACCUCUUUAAGAUCGGUUCGGAUCCUCUGUCCCGCAAAUGGUGUCCCACUCCGUGUCCCACUAUCAAAACUACGUAGUUUUGUAGUAUUCUAACUUAAUACACAAAAUAGAGAACUCACGGCUCAACAAUCUCACGGCUCGGCUUAGACACAAAAAUCAAAUCUUUUCGUUUGAAGAAGAUCUCCAUCCGUUCGGGAAAGAAGGAAACUUUCCGAUGGAUAGGCUUCCUCUAUCCCAUGGACUCAAAUUAUUCGUUCUUCUCCCAGCCAUUAAUCUAUUUUGCAUCAAGUUUAUUGUUCUGUUCUCUGCCGCUUCUAUUGAUGCAAUUCUCCACGCCAACUGCUCGACGAAAGUUCUGUUCCAGAAUUGUGUGUUCUUGAGGCAGCGGCUACGAGUGCUUACGUCCAGGGCAAAGUUCUGUUCCAGAAUUUGUGAAUUAAUUGUGACUUGUAUCCACCAAAUUAAGAGCUCAGGCAUUCCAUGUUCCUUGAUGGCCAUUUACUAGAUCAGCUCUGUGAAGAACUGUGGAGUGCGGCAGAUACUAUUAAAAACUGCUGCAAGAAUACGAUGUUAUCAUAGUUCCUUCUGCUACGUUGGCUGUGAAGUCGUCUAUUCCAAUUUCUAAAGAACGCAGAGCCAAUCAGCCUCUUAAAAUUGUGCUGUCAAAAUGUUUGAAUCCCUGACCAAGAUUGCUGCUGUCGAAGAUGAUGGAGCUUCCAAAUUGUUGAUAGUCAGCGAGAAAGAAACGGGCAACAAGCAACAGACAUGUGCAAGGAGUCCAAACACUAUCUCUGUAAAAGAUAAGUCUACUCAAAUUCUUGAACACUGCAAGAAUGAAGGACUCUGUUGGAUCUGACGGGUACCAUUGUGGAUAUUGAGGAUGUAAACUUAAAGAGGGCUUCAAACAAAACUUGUUCUAGAUAUUGGUGGUCAAGGUGCUGCCAGUUUUUGGAGGUGACGAUGAGAGAUGUCUGAGUAACAUGGAUCUAAAAGGAAGGGUGAAGAAAUUGAUAUCAUUGUCCAUGGUUAAAGUGUUCUACUUGAAGGAUAUUUAUGAUCCAAUUAUUUGCAUAGCUAGACUGCAAAUUCUUCUCCACGCCCUCAAAAUCUUGUUCAAGACGACAUUGUGGUAGAUUUUAUUACGGUGAAACUCAUAGCUCCAAGCUUGUUAAGGAACAUCUUUGUAUUGAAAAAUUUUAGAUGUUACUAUUUCAUAAAUGAAAAUGCUACUUCUAUA